CACAGAACCUAGGGUUUCAUCAACAAUGGCGAAGAAUCUAAAAACCCAUCUUUUCUCAUCACUAAUCAAAUCAGAACUAGGGUUUAAUCAAUCCACUAUCAUCAAUCCAAUCUCAUCAAACAGAGGAAUUUCAUCAUCCAUAAUCAAACAACAAGAUCUGAUUAUACCCAGUUCAGGAUUUCUUCAUCAAAGAAGAUUUUCAACCAGUAAUCUGCCAAACAAAUCAGGAGUAGGAGGAGGAGGAGAUGAUAAUAAUGUAAGAGCAGUGAUUGUAACAUGGGCAAGAGCAACAACAAUCACACCAUGUAUGGUUGGAAUGACAGUAGCUAUUCAUAAUGGUAAAGAUCAUAUCAUCAGAUCUGUUAAUGAAAGAAUGGUUGGUCAUAAAUAUGGGGAAUUUGCACCAACAAGAACUUUUCAUGGGCAUACUAUCAAAGGUGGGAAUGAGAAAGGAAAGAAAGGUGGUGGUGGUGGUGAUAAAGGGAAAGGGAAAGGUGGGAGACUUCAGAGGCCGAAGAAGACAUUGAAAGAGUUGUUGAUGAAGAGGAAGAAUGUCAAAGUGUUGGGUUUAAGAGCGUUUUUGAAGAGUAAAGGUGAGAUUGAGAAGAAGGGUACUAGAUGGGGGACUUGAUUGGAAGAUUCAAUUUCAGCUAGGUAUCAAACAGUUUUUUGUUGCCGUCAAUACUCUGUGGUAUCUUUAAGAUACUCUGACGAUUCAAGCUGUUAUUUUCUGUAACACGAAGAGGAAGGUUGAUUGGUUAACUGAGACGACGCACAGCUAUUACUUCACAGUCUCUGCAAUGCAAGGAGACAUGCCUCAGAAUGAGCGAGAUGCAGUCAUGAAAGAGUUCAGAUCAGGGAACACCCGUGUUCUGAUAAUAGCAGAUGUAUGGGCUCGUGGAUUGAUGUUCAACAGGGUGUUUCUCGUGUAGAUAAUGGUGUUAUAUCGGUUGUUAUCUGCAGGGUGUUGCAAUAUACUUUGUGCGUAGUGAUGAUAUCAGGAUUCCCAGAGACAGAGAGCAGUACUACGGUACUAAAAUAUAUGAGAUGCCAAUGAACAUGGCUGAUCUAUAUAGAUGGUCUAAAACUUUAAAUGCCAAGCAAGUGUUCUUGAAUGAAUUUUUAGCAAAUUAACUAUUGACACUACUGUAAAUGCUAACGAUUUGCAGUUUUCCGCUGCUUGAGAGGAAAGAAACAGAAUAAGUUUGGAUUGAUUUUUGGGACUAGUUUAUAAGACUGUUUUAAGUUUUUCGUCUAUGUUAACAGGCCAAACCCAAUGUUAUCAUAG